CCAUGGGGCUUUAUAGAACCAUGAUAGAGAAAGAUCAAGAGGUGAAUUUGUGAAUUAUACUUUGUCAGUUAAAUGAAACCAGGCAGCUUUCAGUGUUUGAGAACUGUGCUGUUUUUUAAUCGCCCACUAGAGGGCUGCAGCGCCGCAAUAACCAGCCUAGUUCAAAUGAACCAAAUGACACACAAAAAAAGAUUAGUUCAUUUUAAUGAACGAGAUUUGGUGACUCAGUCCGAGUACCAUCACUACUGAAUACGCCCAAUCUACUGCAAAGUCUCUGAGGGGCAUGAUAGUGACUUUGGGCUAAACUCACACUAAACUUGUAGAUUAAUCUUUAAAUUAAAUUCUUUUAUAAUAACUAAUAUUAUUCCCCUUCUCUCGCCGCUGGCUCCUUUUAUGUGCAGCUGUACCUUAACAUCUUAAUCAUAUACACAUAAAAGAAGCCCAUAAAAUACAGAAUAGAGAAUCAGCCUCCAACAAGAACACUGAAGAUAAUCAGUCCUCCCUGAACCAGUAACAGGAGCGGAGACGACCUUCAACCAUGCCCACGUAAACCGGGGACCGAACAGAGAAGGACUUCAGCCUGAGGGUUUCUCCUGACAGGACCUGUGACGUCACCAGAACCUGUGCAGUCUUGCACAACAUCACCACCCUGAGAGACCAGAUCCAGAAUGACGGGAAGACUCUGAGUCAGCUGACUCACCAACUGCGAGGAAGCUUCAGGGCCCAUUUCAGUUCGUUGUGACUCAGGGCCACUUCUUAAUUGGCAGCUCAGCGUUGAAAGCUGUGGACAGGCUGCAAAAAGCAGAACAGCACCGAUCGCUGCCACGGCCAUGAAGCCCCGCCCCCCUGCAGGUAGUAAAGCAAAAGAAGGAUCUGCAUAAGGUGCCCAGUGCUUUAACUAAACAAGACCUUCUCCAUCAUGGUCCAGCUUCUUACCUGCUGUUGCAGAACUGCGGUCACGUUGCCGAAGUACGAAGAUAAAUCUGCUGAGCCAUCGACACUGGACAACUGGAGAGAGAGGGGAAUAAUCAGGUGUUGGGCCAGACUCCUUUGUACAUCUCACCAAUUAUCACUCACAGAAACAACCAUGACAGUGUCCUCCAAAACCAAGAGGACACCAAUAAAGAAGGUGUGGGUAGUGUGGCGAGUGAUAUGAACCUCAUCCUUUAUGAGGCAGCUGUUGAUGCUGACAGGGGGGAAAAAAUAAUAAUAAAAACCCCAAAGAAAUAGAAACAAAAAGAGAAAUGUUUUGACCUGAAGUGCAGAACCAUCAGAAAGGAACUUGGAACGGUCAAGUCAACCUGAAGACCCAGGUUUGAUCUGAGAUGGUAUGAAGCCCUCAAACUAUACAAACACUACACCUACUAAACACUAGAAGAUAUUUAAACUCCACUGACCAAAAUGACUUCUGGGAUAUGUGGAAUAAAUAAAGCACAAGCAAACCACAUGCAUUCAAGAUGUUUUGUAGAUCUUUCUGAAGACGUGCCACCGAAAGAAACAAAUUCAAAUCACAAUCUGAUCAGAGAAAAACUCAACCCAAACCUGAAACCCCUGUUUAAGACGACUAAAACCCACUGGAUUUUCCAAUCUCACAUGAAAAAUUUAUCUGGAAAAUCAAACCUCUAAAAACAUACAAAGCAUGAGGCGCUGACAGCAUUUCAAAUGAAAUAAUUAAAAACUGCAGAGCUCAAAUGAUUUAACACCGUUUUAAUGUCUCCCGUCCGUCAGAGUGGAGAGAAAUGUGACCCCAACAUCCACAGAGGGAUCUGUGUGAGCAGUGAUUUAGGAUAUUCCUAAAAAAUAUCACACGACCGACCGCAUGUUUACUGUGCAUUACCUCUCUGAAAAACCUCAAACAAAAAAAGGAACACUCUUCGCCUGUUCUGUUGACUUUAAAAAGGCAUUUAAUUCAGUUUGGCCAGAUGGAGUCCUACAACGGUAUAGGAGCAAAGGUCUACGACACCAUGAAAUCCACGAACACAGGAAAACAAGUGCAACAUUAAAACUGGUGACAAACACUCCAAUUUCUUUACCCAGAGGAGAAAAGGGCCGGAGUCUCACACUGUUUAAUAUCAGCAGUGCAGGUGUACCAAGGUACAGCGCCACGACUCCAACUCAAACAUGGAGUUCUUAAGUCAAGUUUUAUGCAGAUGACCUGGUGCCGUCACCCACAGAAGGAGGACUUCAGCAGCAGCUAGACCUCCUGGAACAAUACUGCCAGAACUGCAAAAAACUGCACUUAACUUCCUGAUGCACCUCAGAUCAAGUCCCCCAGACUCUCAAAACCCUGAAAUGAGUCCAGCUAGUCCAGAGACUAGGUGAGGGACAGACAGGUGUUCAGACAGACAGGUGAGAGACAGACAGGUGUUCAGACGGACAGGUGUUCAGACAGACAGGUGAGAGACAGACGGGUGUUCAGACAGACAGGUGAGAGACAGACAGGUGAGAGACAGACAGGUACUCACACAGCUUCCCUGCUCCAGCAGUUGGUCCUGCAGGUUUUGGAAGUUGUCGAAUUUCGUAUUGUCCCAGCUGACUCCGCCCUCUCCGACAGGUAACUCAUGCUCCUCGAAGAUUUGCGCCGCCUCCCACAGUGACUUAAACACCACCCAUAAUGCUUGGCGGCACUGCAGGGAACCAAUCAGAGGGAAGGCGGAUCCUGGGAAGGAGAUGUUGGCGUUGUACACCAUGCAGUGGAGAGGAAACGGCCCCGCCUACAGGACAGACGGGAACUUUAUCAGCAACUAAGCCUAAGCUACACAUAGAAAGAAACUGACCUAGCUAACAUUAGCCAUGCUAAGCUACACAUAAAAAGACACUGACCUAGCUAACAUUAGCCAUGCUAAGCUACACAUAAAAAGACACUGACCUAGCUAACAUUAGCCAUGCUAAGCUACACAUAGAAAGAUGCUCACACAGCUAACAUAAAAAUGCUAAGCUACACAUAGAAAGAUGCUGACCCAGCUAACAUUAGCCAUGUUAAGCUAAACUACAGUAAACGUGAGCUAAACGUAAGAUAAACACGUGACAGGUCGUACCAGGUCUCUGAGCAGGUGGUGGGCCGACAAAACCAGGUCUCCCCGCAGAGAACAGGUUGGCAUGCCAACCACCAUGAGCUGGAGGCUGCAGACCUGCAGGAGGACGAGGAGGACUGAAGACAGCGUCAUGGUUCCGGUGGUCCUGGUCUGGGUGGUUUUGUUUCAGGUUAUCUUCAGCUGGUCCUGGUUCUUCAGGUGGUUCUGUGUCUUUAGGUCCAGAGGUUCUGAAACAGACCUCAGUUUUAGUUCAGAGUUCUGCAGACAUUCUGCAGACAUUCUGACGAGUCUUAAAAACCUUUACCUGAAGCGGGUCCUGGUCCUGGUUCUUCAGGUGAUCUUGGCUUCUGGUCCUGGUCCCGGUCCUGGUCUGGUCUGAGCUGGACUGAGAUGCUUCAGGUGUGUUGUGUGAGUUUAGGUACCUGGAAAAGAGAGCAGCUGAUUGGCUUGCUGUGAGGACCAAUCAUCAGCUUGUCUGAGUCAUCAAACCACGAGUCUGAUCCAAACCACAGCAGCAGAGACCUGGACGCCGCCAGGUGAGUCACUGCGGGUUCAUCCAGGUACGCCGUCCUGUCAGUGAGGAGGUUCUGGGUUCAUCCUGACUGACAGAAGGAUUAACAAACCAAAAACCGGGAUUCCACUAUACUUGUGGGGUCCAACAGCUUUGUGGGGACCAAACUGCAAGACCCCACAAGUUUAAACGGCCGUUUGAGGGUCCAGACUUGGUUUCAGGCCGGUAGUUGUGAUGGUUGACGGUUAGGGGUUAGUGAAUGCAGCGUGUGUGGACUCGCCCUCCUGGUGGGGACAUAAAUCAGGUCCCCACAACACAAACCCUAAACCUUGAGGUUUGUGUUGAUUGUCUCUUUUCAUCCCGACAGCGAUCAAUCAGAUGGUCUGACAGACGAGACAAAACGCCGCUGUGUGUGGCUGCAGGCCUGUAGUGAGCUCGGCCAAUCACGUCGUCAGUAGUGACUAAUAACUACACAGAGUUUGUGUGGUGAUAACCGGCUGAACAUAGGGGUGAAACUAGCAUUUUCACUGGCCGACGUACGCUUCCCACUGAGUCACAUGACCUCUGACCUUCAGGCGACGCCGCAGGUCGAACCAUGAGUCAGAUGAUGGAAACUGCUUGUUGUAAUAACGCCACAUUAUUUCCCAUCAGCAGGUUUCCAGAGCGGCGGCGGCGGUCAGAAAGACCGAGAGUCAGAGCCGAGCUGGAAACACGCGGGGACGCCACAAACACAAAGUUAAGUUUCAUUUCAGCGCCGCCUGCCAGCAGCGCCCGGACUGAGACGCCAGCUUCUGACUCCACGUCUCAAAGUUUCAGCAUUAAUGAAGGAGUGAAAGUGAGAAGCUGAUGUGAGUCAACAAACAGCAGAGAUGCUGGAAGGAAACCUCAUCUCGUCUCUGAGCUGACGCUUCCACCUCUGGCCGCCAGAACGCUCCACGCGGAAACCGUUCGACGCUAUGACGCUCAGCUGCAUCACCGCGGCGUGUUCGACGCCGCGUUCAGGUUCCAUCUGACGUUCCAAACCUAAAGUUCAACACCGAGAAUGUCCAGAGCUGCAGCUCACCGAGGAUUACAUGCAUUCAUUUAAGUACUAAUACCUCAACUGCAGUAAAAGUACUAAAGUAUGUGAGUAUACUCAGUAUUAAAGUACUAAAG